AUCUGGGCUUCCCAUCAGUGGAAAGCUUUGUGGACUCUCUUAGCCCGGAUCUGUUGGUGGAAGAUGGUGUGAUCUUUCACAAAAGCAACAUAGUUCUUACAGAUGAAGACUUUGAAAAGAGAUGCAGAGAUGUUGUGGAAUUGGUAAAAAGCCACCAGGACGGCAUUCCUCUUUCAAAAAUAGCAGUAUUUUAUAAAAGCGAAUAUGGGAGGCCUCUGAAAAAGAAAGAACUUGGGUUCUCAUCAAUAGCAGAAUUCAUUGACUCUCUCAACCAAGAGCUGUGUGUAGAAAACGGCCAAAUUUUCUACAGGAUUGCAAACCCUGAAGCUACGACCCAUACAGCAACACCUGUGCAUGUUGAUGGGGUUUUUAAAGAUUUUGUGGAUUUUGUU